rnacentral:lncRNA from 1 species
GAAAUGGAAGAAUUCAAUAAGGAUAUCAUACAGAUUGCCAAGCAGAUAAUAAAGAAACACUAAGGGAGAGGGAGGAUAGAUUCAGACAUGCCAACAUAAAUUUGAUAGGAAUCCUAGAAAAAGACAGUGAAGUGAAUGAAGCAGAGUACAUACUGCAGGAAAUAAUUGAAGAAAAUUUUUCAGAGCUUCACGAUUCUAGUCUUGGGAUAGUGAGUGCUCACCGGAUCCCCAGUGUGAUUGACAAAAACAGACUCACUCCUAGGCACAUGUUGGUGAAGAUUUUGAAUUGUAGUGAUAAAGAGAAAAUUCUAAAGGUUUUUAGAGAGAAAAAGAAAUCACCUACAGAGGCACAAGAAUCCGACUGACAGCCGACUUAUCACUGGCACCCUGGAUGCAAGAAGUCAAUGGAGCAACAUAAAAGUGCUUCAGGAGAAAGGCUUUCACCCUAGAAUCCUGUAUCCAGACAAAUUGGCAUUUGAUUUCCAUGGUAAAACAAAGAUUUUUUUUAUAUGGAAGAAUUUAGGAAGUUUAUUUCUUGUGUACCCACUUUGAAAGAAUUAUUGGAGAAAACAACAUAGGUGGCUGCAACUGUCAUUUUCCUCACCCCAACAUACAUUUAGAAAAUUGACAAAUAAAACAUCUCUGUCCAGAAAAGUGGAAUCUGUUUAUUUGGGGAUGAGGGGAAAGGAGUUGUAUUACCUAGUUGUUAUGUAGGUCAAAGGGCAUAUUUUUUAAAAUGUAAUGGUAGUCUUAGUUUGCCUAGGGAAGUUUCUCUAUUACUGAGCAGGGAAGAAGGAACAGAUGGGUA